AUUCAACUCAGUACAUAACAGAGGACACCAGGCUGGGGGACGCUGCUCUAAGGAUUAAAUUCCCGUGAACACAAUGGGGCUGACUUUUGAAGGGAGUGUAGGUUUGGUUUUUUAGAUCAGGUAGAUGAGGAGAUGAGCCGGUAGAAGAUGAUGCAGAAAAGGUGAAGCUAUCACUGUCCAGGAUUUUUGAGAAGGAUUAAAAGGAAGAAAUAAAAGUAGCUGGACAAAUGACAAGUGGUAUGAAAUAAAAUAUUGAUGUCAUCAAUAAUCUGAUGACACCCAGCAAUAUCUCUCCUCCUUAAAUCCUGGUGAAGCCAUGAAUUACAUGAAUGGAAGUUGCACGUUUAAGAAGGAAAGAAAGGGGGCUGAAAGCAGGAAUGGAAUGUGGAGGGCAACAAAGGUAGAUGAGAUUGCUGAUAUAGCCAGGAUUUAAAUCCACAGAGCAUGAGGUUUAAAGCAUGGAAUUAUACAGAAGAAGUGAAGUUUCCCAGUAUCCCGGACUGGGAAAGUGAGAUGCAAACUUAAGCAGCAUUUGGAAGAAAACUGGCUAGAAAUGCAAUUUCAACUUCUCUGCACUCCCCAAAAAGGAAUAGGGCUGAUCUGCACUACACAGAUUUAUCAGUAUUAUACCAGCUUCUUGAGGUUACUACCAAAGAAUCCUGAAACUUGUUGUUUGGUGAGGGUUCUGAGAAGUUUCUUUUACGGUGUAAUUCUACUCAGAAGCAAGCCUUACACUCAUUUUAGUGGGACACACCGCCAGGGUAAGUGUGCAUAUAGGAUUGCCGCCUGAAAGAUCUAUACCCCAAUACUGGUGAGAGACAGUGUGAUGUGGUGGUUAGAGUGUGGGACUAGGGCCUGGGAGGCCAGGGUUCAAAUUCUCAAUGCCUGUGAAGUUCACUGCCUCUCAGACUGACCUACCUCAUUGGGUUGUUGAAAACAUGAGGAUUAAGUGAGGAUCAACUAGAUCAUAUACAAGUUUCAGGUUGCACCUGAGAUUGCUGGGACAAAGCACACAUGUCCACACACACACACACACUGUCUGAUCCACCGUUUUUGAAAAAAAAUCCAGCAGUUUCCCAGUCUCUAGUCGGAAGUGAAAUGCACACUGGUUCCUUUUCAAGUGGAGGACAGAAGUUAAACAGGGCAUUUGUAACAGGCAUUGUAAAAGUAUUGCCCAACCGUGGAUUUUGGAACUAUGGAGCAACAUGGCUUCCUUUGCUUUCUCUUAAACCAGUGGUCUGUGAUGCAGACGUGCCCUCCGUCUUAAUUCCAGCAGACAAGGCUAACAAUGCUGCUGCUUCUCCAUUCUGAAUUACAUUUCGAGGUUGCCGGGUGAAGCGGGGGAUCAUUCUAGGUAAAAAGCUUUCACAAUAAGCUGAUGAAUAGCCAGCACCAGUGCAUUGCCUUCCCCUGCAGCCAUGUGAAUAUGUGUGUUUUAUAAAUAUCACAGAAAGGAGUUAUUUGCUGUGCUGCUUACUGAGGGUGGCAUUAUACAACACUUCAGAAAAGCACCCGACAACAACCCAAGACUCUCAAAAGGUCAGAGAGCUAUAAGCUGCUCUCCCCACUCCCCGAAAUGUUAACAAGACAUUGACACACGGUUGUACCUGCUCUAUGAAAUCUUCUGUGGUCAGGGAUAAGUGGUAUAUUGUAAGAGGCAAUGAAUCAACUAAACUGCAUAAGCUGGAGAUUUUAGGAUGAAGGAUGUUUGUUUAUGACUGAAUGACCAGUUCGGUAUUUCUCCCAGUUAUCCUUAGUGCCGUUAUUAGGAGGAGGAGAACCACUUAUUUAUGGAUCCUAAAACCUUCAUUUUCUGCACUAAAUGGCUUCUUAGUGGCUGGAGCGGGUUUUUUAAAAAAUAAAAUAAUAAUCUUGGCAUUUGAGAUCAUUUGGAUUCAUUGCUGGGUCAUCACCCAUUCCUAAAGCAUUUACACCCUUUAAAUACAAAUAGAAAGCACAUUUCAAAGAAUUGCUCUCCCAAGAAUACUCAGGCUGCAGAAUAAAUGAACUGAACCCUCUAUAAUGCCAGAGACUGGAUGACAAGAGAGGUCUGGAGAUACUUGCAGAAACCUGUGCGGAAAUUCACAUUCUUUAGAACCUUUUGAAAAUGGCUGGAAUAUGUACAGUAGGUCCACAUUUGUACAUAUAAAUUUGGCUAUAUUUGGGUUAUCUGGGGACUUCUUCCAGAGGCCUGGCCCAUUUGCUGCCACAGGUCGAGUGGCAAAUCUCUCUCUCUCUUACACACACACCCCAAGUCAAAGUCCCUAGUAACCAAGGCUAGCCAAGUUAUUUUUGGCUUUUGAUCCAAAAAAGGACGUAUCCCUCUUCCCAGCAAUAAAAUGCAACAGUAAUAAAACACACACCAGAUUGCUGCCCAGUCAACUCACUUCACCCAAUGGCAAGGACAGUCUGUCUCCUAAACCUUUGGUGUCAUGCACAAGUAAGAACGUAAGAAGAGCUUACUGGAUCAGGCCAAUGGCCUGUCUAGGCCAACAGCUUGUUCUCACAGUGGCCAACCAGAUGCCUGCAGGAGGACAGCAAGAAGGACCUGAGCACACCAGCACUCUCCCCUGCUACAGUUCCAGCAACCAGUCUUCAGAAACAUCAUGCCUCCAACAGUUGGAGGUAGAGCAUAGCCAUCCGGGUUAGUAGCCAUUACCAUCUGUGAGUUUGUCUACUCUUACCAAGUUGGUGGCCACCUGUGCCUCUUGUGGAAACCAAUUCCAUAGUUCAGCUGUGCACUGAGUGAAGAAGUACUUUCUUCUGUCUGCCCAAAUCUUCUAACAUUCAUCUGUGAGCACAACGGCUUUUCAGCUAAAUUGGGGACAUAGGAUCAUAGACUUGUAGAGUUGGAACAUGGAAAUCUUCAUGGAUAUAUCCAGCCUCUGAUGAAACAUGCCUCUUGGAUGGGUGCCGCUGUGGUCUAAACCACUGAGCCUCUUGGGCUUGCCGAUCAGAAGGUUGGCGGUCUGAAUCCCUGCGACGGGGUGAGCUGCUGUUGCUCAGUCCCAGCUCCUGCCAACCUAGCUGUCCGAAAGCAUACCAGUGCAAGUAGAUAAAUAGGUACCGCUGUGGUGGGAAGGUAAACGGCAUGUCUGUGUGUGCUGGCACUCAUCACAGUGUCCCGUUGUACCAGAAGCAGUUUAGUCAUGCUGGCCACAUGUCUUGGAAAACUGCCUGUGGACAAACGCCAGCUCCCUCAGCCUGAAAGUGAGAUGAGCCCCGCAACCCCAUAGUCACCUUUGACUGGACUUAACCGUCCAGGGUUCCUUUACCUUUACCUUUUAAAAUACACCUUUUCAAAAGGAUGCAAAGUUGUUUGCAAAGAGAAAUGAAACAUGGUCCUUUUACCAAACCAAGUGAGCUGAUCCUCCCUCCCUGUAAUAUAGCUGUGCCAGUUUGAUUGACUAGAGCAGAAUGUGAAUGAAAAUGUGCAUUCAAACGUACAUCACAUUGGAAGUACAGAUGGGUGACAAUAAUAUUCUGGGGCAUGUAGGGAUGGAGGCACAGACUUAAUUUGCACUUCUCAAAUUAAUCCAUGAACCAAAGCACACAGCUAUCCUUCAAAAUGCAUGCUUCUCUGAAUUUUGCAAUGCUGUUCUCCAGCCAGAACACAGUUUCAAGAAUACAUAUGUUAGAGCUAGAGAAAGGGUACAUAAAAAUGCAAAUAUUAGUGAAAAUGCCAUAC